UCGAACGCUGAAGGCCCAGCUUGCUGGGUUGGAUGAGUGGCGAACGGGUGAGUAACACGUGAGUAACCUGCCCCCUUCUUUGGGAUAACGGUCGGAAACGGCUGCUAAUACCGGGUGUUCACAGUCCUUCGCAUGGGGGGUGGUGGAAAGGUUUUUUCUGGUGGGGGAUGGGCUCGCGGCCUAUCAGCUUGUUGGUGGGGUGAUGGCUUACCAAGGCUUUGACGGGUAACCGGCCUGAGAGGGUGACCGGUCACAUUGGGACUGAGAUACGGCCCAGACUCCUACGGGAGGCAGCAGUGGGGAAUAUUGCACAAUGGGCGAAAGCCUGAUGCAGCGACGCCGCGUGAGGGAUGACGGCCUUCGGGUUGUAAACCUCUUUCGCUCAUGGUCAAGCCGCAACAGUGGUUGUGGUGAGGGUAGUGGGUAAAGAAGCACCGGCUAACUACGUGCCAGCAGCCGCGGUAAUACGUAGGGUGCGAGCGUUGUCCGGAAUUAUUGGGCGUAAAGGGCUUGUAGGCGGUUUGUCGCGUCUGCCGUGAAAUCCUCUGGCUUAACUGGGGGCGUGCGGUGGGUACGGGCAGGCUUGAGUGCGGUAGGGGAGACUGGAACUCCUGGUGUAGCGGUGGAAUGCGCAGAUAUCAGGAAGAA
rnacentral:rRNA from 1 species